GUCUACGGCCAUACCACCCUGAACGCGCCCGAUCUCGUCUGAUCUCGGAAGCUAAGCAGUGUCGGGCCUGGUUAGUACUUGGAUGGGACAUGAUUUAAGCAGUCCAGUAUUUCUCAGGUU
rnacentral:rRNA from 1 species